AUCGCAGUUCUCGGUCCCACCGUGUCCAUGCAAAGGCGAAAUUUCAAAGGAUACGGAGUGUUGAAAUUGUAAAAGACUGAGGACUGUGUGACUUCUGCGUGGUCUGCAAAGUGGAAAUGAUCACGAAAGGAGAGAAACGGGACUGGCGCACGGGCCAUUGGCAAGUACGUGUCCCAGUCGCUUCCUGCCCCCGAC